rnacentral:lncRNA from 1 species
AGGCUCCCUGGGCUGGCACCGCCCUAGGCUGGAGAAAGAGGAAACACGUUGGUCUGCGCACUCAGAGCCGAGUCAAAUGUGCAGGAAGAUUCCCCCAAACUGAAAGAAGUAAUGAAAAGAAAACAAAAAAAAUCCUUAAAAAUCGAGUGAAUCAGUUCGUAGAGAAUUGCAGGGUCAACAGCAAAUUUGAGGCAGUGGAUAUGAGGAUAGAGGAGACACUCCUGAAGACUUCACUUUCUCCAUUUCUGUACUUGAAUUUUUACACCAAGCAUACAGCUUGAAAAAAUUAAAUGAGUAUGCAGUAUUUUAAAAAUCAACAAAAGCUUCACAUUUUAAUUUUCACUUGAAAAAAAAACAUGAGUGGUACUCAGCAGAACAACAACUAUAUCGUAUAAGCUGCAUCAGAGACAAAUGAAGAUGAAAAAACUAUCCUCCUAUAUAACUAAUCUGUGCUGUGCCCCAACAAAGCCUGCUUUAAAUUUCCGUGCCAAUUACAACCCCCAUUCUGUAUCAGGCAAGGAAGACUCCUCUACCCUUGAUUCUGGAUUGGAAAGGUCACAAGGCUUAGAUUCCACAGGAGGAGGUGAAGACAUCUGCAGAGUCUGUACUGCGAGCUGAAGCUUUAUUUGCUUGUUGGAUCCCCAAAAGGUCCAAAUCCAGUCUGCACCAAACAGGAAGGCUUGGUGCUUGGUCAUCUUGGUGGUGGUCAGCCACUCAUCAACUCCCUUUUCUUGGCAGAAAGUGAUGAAAUGGAUUAAGAAGAUCUCAUUCAGAGUAUUUGCAGCUGGGCAGAGUUUACUUGGAGGAUAUUCAAAUCCAAGGUACUCCUUCAGUUUCUGAGCUGCAUGGACUAUAGCUUCACUGACCACCUCACAGACGACGGGCACCUCUUUGCUGUCCUUCAGAGCCAACUGUUGCGAUGCUUUCUGCCCCAUUUUCUCUGCAUCCAAAUAUCAAACAUGUGAAUCUGGUUCAGACGUACUUCUUUUUCAAAGUAAAAGUUCUGCAGGGAGGCCACAUCUGUUAAUGGUUCAUGUUUUUCUAACUCUACAGCUUCCUCGGGUGUAGUUAAGCAUAUAUACAUACAGCUAAAUAAACAUGUUAGUUCUC